rnacentral:tRNA from 1 species
GGACCUUUAGCUCAGUUGGUUAGAGCAGGCAGCUCAUAACUGUCCGGUCGUAGGUUCGAAACCUACAAGGUCCA